rnacentral:rRNA from 1 species
CCUAGGGUGGCAGCAGUGGGGAAUAUUGCACAAUGGGGGAAACCCUGAUGCAGCGACGCCGCGUGAGUGAAGAAGUAUUUCGGUAUGUAAAGCUCUAUCAGCAGGAACGAGACAAGACGGUGCCUUACUAAAAAGCCCCGGCUAACUACGUGCCAGCAGCCGCGGUAAUACGUAGGGGGCAAGCGUUAUCCGGAAUCACUGUGUGUAAAGGGAGCGUAGACGGGUGAGCAAGCCUGAAGGGAAAGGCGGGGGCCCAACCCCCGGACUGCUUUGGGAACUGUACGGCUGGAGUGCAGGAGAGGUAAGUGGAAUUCUUGGUGUAGGGGUAAAAUCCGUAGAGAUCAAGAGGAAUACUAAUUGCGAAGGCGACCUGCUAGAACAUAACUGACGCUGAUGCGCGAAAGCGUGGGGAGCAAACAGGAUUAGAUACCCCAGUAGUC